rnacentral:rRNA from 1 species
AGUGAACGCUGGCGGUAGGCCUAACACAUGCAAGUCGAACGGCAGCACAGUAAGAGCUUGCUCUUACGGGUGCCGAGUGGCGGACAGGUGCGGGAUACAUCGGAGUCUACUUUUUAGUGGGGGAUAACGCAGGGAAAAUUACGCUAAUCCCGCAUACGACCUACGGGUGAAAGCAGGGGAUCUUCGGACCUUGCGCGAGCGAAUGAGCCGAUGUCGGAUUAGCUAGGUGGCGGGGUACAGGCCCACCAAGGCGACGAUCCGUAGCUGGUCUGAGAGGAUGAUCAGUCACACUGGAACUGAGACACGGUCCAGACUCCUACGGGAGGCAGCAGUGGGGAAUAUUGGACAAUGGGCGAAAGCCUGAUCCAGCCAUACCGCGUGCGUGAAGAAGGCCUUCGGGUUGUAAAGCCCUUUAGUUGGGAAAGAAAGGCAGCAGGUUAAUACCCCGCUGUUCUGACGGUACCCAAAGAAUAAGCACCGGCUAACUUCGUG